rnacentral:rRNA from 1 species
GACGAACGCUGGCGGCGUGCUUAACACAUGCAAGUCGAGCGGUAAGGCCCUUUCGGGGGUACACGAGCGGCGAACGGGUGAGUAACACGUGGGUGACCUGCCCUCAGCUCUGGGAUAAGCCUGGGAAACCGGGUCUAAUACUGGAUAUGACUCCAUGACGCAUGUUGUGGGGUGGAAAGCCUUGUGCGGCUGAGGAUGGGCCCGCGGCCUAUCAGCUUGUUGGCAGGGCGAUGGCCUACCAAGGCGACGACGGGUAGCCGGCCUGAGAGGGCGACCGGCCACACUGGGACUGAGACACGGCCCAGACUCCUACGGGAGGCAGCAGUGGGGAAUCUUGCGCAAUGGGCGAAAGCCUGACGCAGCGACGCCGCGUGAGGGAUGACGGCCU